ACCGGUGAGUAACGGAUAAAGAACUUGCCUCACUGCUCUUGACCACGUUUUGAAAUGAAUGCUAUUACCUGAUAUUAUGAUUUUGUCGCUUCUUAGAAUUAUGAUUGCUCGAGCACUGUGAGAGAGCUUUGCGUCCCAUUAGCUAUUUGGAUAGGUAACAGCUCACAAGGCGAUGAUGGGUAAUCGGCCUGAGAGGGUGAACGGCCGUCCCCCGACUGAGACCCGGCCCUUACUCCUAACGCAGGCAGCAGGGGGGAAUAUUGAACAAUGGACCGAGAGUCUGAUCCUGCAAUUCUGUGUGCACGAUGAAGUUUUUCGGAAUGUGGGUUGCUUUCUGUUGGGAAGAAAAAAAUGACGGUACCACGUGUGGGCUGACGGCUAAAUACGUGCCAUAAGGACGCGGCUAUACCUAUGUCACCAGCGUUAUCCGGAUUUAUUGGGCGUAAAGCGCGUCUAAGUGGUUAUGUAAGUCUGAUGUCAAAAUGCUAGGUUCAUCUCUGUAUUGCGUUGGGGGCUGUAUAACUAGAUGACUGGAGAGCUGAGCGGAUCUACUAGUGUAGAGGUGAAAGUCAUUCAUAUUUGUACGAAGACCUGUGGAGAAACCAGCUUAAUGGACAGAUACUGACGCUACUUUCUGGAAGCGUACUGUACCCUGAGGGAUUAAAUACCCUGAAACUCCACGCUGUAGAC
rnacentral:rRNA from 1 species